CUCAACAAAGUUAUGAGGAACUUCGCCUACUUCUUGAAUUGUACUCUCAGCUUAAUUACAUCAAAAUAGAGCUUGAUGCCUUAACUUGAUGCAUGAAGAUUUUUGAGCAUAAGCAGGAUGCCAUGAUCAAGAUCAUUGGGAAAAUAUUGGACAGAAUUUUGAUGUCGCCUCUAAGAUCCUCCCAUCUACCUCUAACUUCCUCCGACGCACCCAACACCGUAGAGAGAAAAUAAAAAUGUAGUAAAGAAAAUAUCAAUGUUUUAAUGUUAAUUUUACUUUCUAGUCUUGAUGAAAUGUAUGCUUAUGUUUCAGCUUUAUUGACUCAUUGCUAUAAAUACAUGAUAAGUCAUUUAUCCCAUCCAUAGAGGACGAUCAUGUAACUUCAAAUAUAAAUAUUG
rnacentral:lncRNA from 1 species